rnacentral:rRNA from 1 species
GAUGAACGCUGGCGGCGUGCCUAAUACAUGCAAGUCGAGCGAACGGACGAGAAGCUUGCUUCUCCGAUGUUAGCGGCGGACGGGUGAGUAACACGUGGAUAACCUACCUAUAAGACUGGGAUAACUUCGGGAAACCGUAGCUAAUACCGGAUAAUAUUUUGAACCGCAUGGUUCAAAAGUGAAAGACGGUCUUGCUGUCACUUAUAGAUGGAUCCGCGCUGCAUUAGCUAGUUGGUAAGGUAACGGCUUACCAAGGCAACGAUGCAUAGCCGACCUGAGAGGGUGAUCGGCCACACUGGAACUGAGACACGGUCCAGACUCCUACGGGAGGCAGCAGUAGGGAAUCUUCCGCAAUGGGCGAAAGCCUGACGGAGCAACGCCGCGUGAGUGAUGAAGGUCUUCGGAUCGUAAAACUCUGUUAUUAGGGAAGAACAUAUGUGUAAGUAACUGUGCACAUCUUGACGGUACCUAAUCAGAAAGCCACGGCUAACUACGUGCCAGCAGCCGCGGUAAUACGUAGGUGGCAAGCGUUAUCCGGAAUUAUUGGGCGUAAAGCGCGCGUAGGCGGUUUUUUAAGUCUGAUGUGAAAGCCCACGGCUCAACCGUGGAGGGUCAUUGGAAACUGGAAAACUUGAGUGCAGAAGAGGAAAGUGGAAUUCCAUGUGUAGCGGUGAAAUGCGCAGAGAUAUGGAGGAACACCAGUGGCGAAGGCGACUUUCUGGUCUGUAACUGACGCUGAUGUGCGAAAGCGUGGGGAUCAAACAGGAUUAGAUACCCUGGUAGUCCACGCCGUAAACGAUGAGUGCUAAGUGUUAGGGGGUUUCCGCCCCUUAGUGCUGCAGCUAACGCAUUAAGCACUCCGCCUGGGGAGUACGACCGCAAGGUUGAAACUCAAAGGAAUUGACGGGGACCCGCACAAGCGGUGGAGCAUGUGGUUUAAUUCGAAGCAACGCGAAGAACCUUACCAAAUCUUGACAUCCUUUGACAACUCUAGAGAUAGAGCCUUCCCCUUCGGGGGACAAAGUGACAGGUGGUGCAUGGUUGUCGUCAGCUCGUGUCGUGAGAUGUUGGGUUAAGUCCCGCAACGAGCGCAACCCUUAAGCUUAGUUGCCAUCAUUAAGUUGGGCACUCUAAGUUGACUGCCGGUGACAAACCGGAGGAAGGUGGGGAUGACGUCAAAUCAUCAUGCCCCUUAUGAUUUGGGCUACACACGUGCUACAAUGGACAAUACAAAGGGCAGCGAAACCGCGAGGUCAAGCAAAUCCCAUAAAGUUGUUCUCAGUUCGGAUUGUAGUCUGCAACUCGACUACAUGAAGCUGGAAUCGCUAGUAAUCGUAGAUCAGCAUGCUACGGUGAAUACGUUCCCGGGUCU